ACGUGAUUACUCGGCAGCCAUUUUGAUCUCGAAGAGGAGAAAGUGCAGUAAUUUCUCCGGUUAAAAACGCUAACUUUUAGAGUUCAGCCAUGUCGGAACCAGAGCCAGGGACAUACAAAGUGGCCACGGUGAAGACAGCACCAUUUGAUGCCCGUUUCCCCAACACGAACCAGGCGAGGUACUGCUGGCAGGGUUACAUUGACUUCCAACGCUGCACCAACAUACGCGGCGAGGACUACGAACCCUGUCAGUACUUCAGGCAUGUCUACCGCUCAAUGUGCCCCAAAUCUUGGAUAGAGCUGUGGGAUGAGCAGCGUGAGGUUGGCACAUUCGCUGGGAAGGUCUGAUGCUGCCUCAUCAGAGGACCAUCCUGAAACCAUCCUUCCUGCUGUGUUCUUUAAUGUCAUACUAGAGGAUAUUGUUGUUUAAGUGCCCCUUAAUGUCUACUCAAACCAGAGGAACUAAACCAUAUUGUACACUGAUCCAGACAACACACCUGAGUGAAAUGUUUUAAAUAGAAAUAUGCAGCCUUGACUAUGGAAGGAUGAGGAUCACUAUUGAGUAAAGUGCACACCUCUGUUCAAUGGCAGCAACAGAAAUGUCAGAAAGGUUGUAGUGUCUACUCGAUGUUAGCACUGUGAUAUCCCAACCGUUUGCACAAAGUACAACAAAUGUGACCAAUAGUUACCUUUAAUUCCAAUGUCAAGCCAAACUGGAUGAUAACUCUCAAUUUGGUGUGUCAUUGCCAAUACAACCAGUAGAGUGGCAUAUCAACUUAUUAAUAAGUGUAUGGAUAUGAAUAAAGAGUUGGAAAAUCCA